rnacentral:tmRNA from 1 species
GGGGGCGUUACGGAUUCGACAGGGAUGGUUCGGGCUUUAACCGCGCGUCGGAGGUCUCGUCUUCGUCAUCAACGGAAGUUAUAUAAUAACUGGCAAAACAAACAACAACUUAGCAUUCGCAGCGUAAGCUCGGAUCUGCCUUCCUACACUAUCGCCCAUGUAGUAUAGUAAGGCUCACUUAUAGUGGGAUACGCUUUACGGUGCAACUAGAGUCGUAAAGAAGAGAUUUCCUAGUUAGCGCACAGGACGCCAGUUUGUCGGCAUAAUGCUGCGUGAUUUCCAAAUAGGCAAACUACACGCGUAGACGUUGGAGUAACGGAGUCUCUGGACGCGGGUUCGACUCCCGCCGCCUCCA